rnacentral:rRNA from 1 species
GAUGAACGCUGGCGGCGUGCUUAACACAUGCAAGUCGAACGAGCAAUGGAGACGGAAACCUUCCGGCGGAUGGCUUCAUUUCGAUUGGUGGCCGGUUGAUUAACGCCUGGUUAACCUGCCUCAUAUAGGGGGAUAACAGUUUGAUACGACUUUUAAUACUGCAUAACACCACAGCAUCGCAUGGUGCGGUGUUGAAAACUCUUGUGGUAUGAGAGGGACCCGCUUUCGAUUAGCCAGUUGUCGCGGUAACGGCCCACCACAGCGACGAUCGAUAGACGAGAUGAGAGGAAGACCGGAGACAGUGAGGCUGAGACACGGCCGGAACUCCUACGGGAGGCAGCAGUGGGGGAUGGAGCACAGUGGGGGAAACCAUGAAGGAGCGACGACGGGUGAGUGAAGAAGUAAGUCAGUAUGAAAAGCGCAAGCAACAGGGAAGAAAAUGACGGUACCUGAGUAAGAAGCCACGGCUAACUACGUG